UACAGAGGGUGCGAGCGUUAAUCGGAAUUACUGGGCGUAAAGCGUGCGUAGACGGCUAUCUAAGUCGGGUGUGAAAGCCCCGGGCUCAACCUGGGAAUGGCGAUGGAUACUGGCUCGCUAGAGUGCGGUAGAGGAGAGUGGAAUUCCCGGUGUAGCAGUGAAAUGCGUAGAGAUCGGGAGGAACAUCAGUUGCGAAGGCGGCUCUCUGGGACGGUACCGACGCUGAGACGCGAAAGCGUGGGGAGCGAACAGG
rnacentral:rRNA from 1 species